rnacentral:rRNA from 1 species
CCUACGGGAGGCAGCAGUGAGGAAUAUUGGUCAAUGGACGAGAGUCUGAACCAGCCAAGUAGCGUGAAGGAUGACUGCCCUAUGGUUUGUAAACUUCUUUUAUAUGGGAGUAAAAUGUUCCACGUGUGGGAUUUUGUAUGUACCAUAUGAAUAAGGCUCGGCUAACUCCGUUCCAGCAGCCGCGGUAAUACGGAGGAUCCGAGCGUUAUCCGGAUUUAUUGGGCUUAAAGGGAGCGUAGGUGGAUUGUUAAGUCAGUUGUGAAAGUUUGCGGCUCAACCGUAAAAUUGCAGUUGAAACUGGCAGUCUUGAGUACAGUAGAGGUGAGCGGAAUUCGUGGUGUAGCGGUGAAAUGCUUAGAUAUCACGAAGAACACCGGUUGCGAAGGCAGCUUACUGGACUGCAACUGACACUGAGGCUCGAAAGUGUGGGUAGCAAACAGGAUUAGAUACCCUAGUAGUC